UACGUAGGUGGCAAGCGUUGUCCGGAUUUACUGGGCGUAAAGAGCGCGCAGGCGGUCGAUCAAGUCGCGUGUGAAAGCCCCCGGCUCAACUGGGGAGGGUCACGCGAUACUGAUCGACUCGAAGGCAGGAGAGGGUAGUGGAAUUCCCGGUGUAGUGGUGAAAUGCGUAGAUAUCGGAAGGAACACCAGUGGCGAAAGCGGACUUCCUGGUCCAGCACCGACGUCAGGCACGAAAGCGUGGGGAGCAAACAGG
rnacentral:rRNA from 1 species